CAGGGCCUGCCACAGAGCUGCCAGUUGGGACAGACCCAUAUUACUCCAUUAUUGAAUUUUCUCCUAUUGAGAGAGAUCCUGUAUUUCAAACCACCAACACUCAGAACGUGACAUAUUCGCAGGUGAAUACAAGCCCGGAUACGCUCUCUUCCACCAAACAAGUUCCAUGAAACUCGAGAUAGCUAAGGAACAUUUCUAAGAACUGGAAACGUAAACUGGAUCCUCAGUAUCGCUAUUUUGCAGUCUGUAUUUACUGGUAAAUUCAGGGCAAAAUUCCUGUGGUCAUUUCUCUACAAUACCAGUUGAAUGGUGUAGAGUCCAACCCUGAAUUUCAUACAGUUUGACUUGACUGAUAGCAACUAAUUCAAUGGAAGGAAGCAGAACAGCAAGAAGAAAAGUUCUCUGGGACCCAGCAAGACCUUGGUCAAUUGCUUUGCUAUUGUAGACAGUUUGGAAAAUGGUGUUAAUUCUCAUAGGAUAAUAAUUAAGCAUUUUAUUAAGAGGUCUAUUCAUCAAAUCACGAAUGCUCCGAGUA